rnacentral:rRNA from 1 species
UAGGGAAUAUUGCGCAAUGGACGAAAGUCUGACGCAGCAACGCCGCGUGGGUGAUGAAGUUUUUCGGAAUGUAAAACCCUGUCGGUGGGGAAGAAACGCACGAGUAGUAACUGGCUCGUGCCUGACGGUACCCACAAAGGAAGUCCCGGCUAACUCCGUGCCAGCAGCCGCGGUAAUACGGGGGGGACGAGCGUUGUUCGGAUUUACUGGGCGUAAAGGGCGCGUAGGCGGACCUUCAAGUCGGAUGUGAAACCCCCGGGCUUAACUCGGGGCCUGCAUUUGAUACUGUUGGUCUUGAGUACAGGAGAGGAGAGUGGAAUUCCAGGUGUAGCGGUGAAAUGCGUAGAUAUCUGGAAGAACACCAGUAGCGAAGGCGGCUCUCUGGACUGAUACUGACGCUCAAGCGCGAAGGCUUGGGGAGCAAACAGG